CAUUAAGAAGCUAACAAGGAAGCAUUAGCCUUUUAAGCUAAAUUUCGGUGACUACCACUCACCCUUAAUGA
rnacentral:tRNA from 1 species